rnacentral:misc_RNA from 1 species
CAGAGUUCGUGCCCUCACGGGUAGAUCUCCCACCCUGUGUUAUUAUACCUUUGUUGCUUUGGCGGGCCGCCCUCGGCUACCGGCCCCGGCUGGUGAGUGCCUGCCAGAGGACCCAACCAACUCUUGUUUUAUGUGUCGUCUGAGUACUAUAUAAUAGUUA